rnacentral:ncRNA from 1 species
GAGAGCCGGGUGAUGCGAAAGUAUCAAGCCCGGUUCGGAGGGGGCGGCGGAAACGGAGGCCACGGGUCAGCAGGAGCACCAUCCAUGAUGAUGCCGAGCUACCGCGC